UCCCUAGUGGUCUAGUGGUUAGGAUUUGGCACUUUCACAGCUGAGGCCUGGGUUCAAUCCCUUGUCAGGGAA
rfam:TPA: Bos taurus chromosome 16, whole genome shotgun sequence.